AUGAGUUUUUCUCAAUAGUGGCUCCAAGGACAGCCUAGAAGUCUUGCUUACCCACUUGGUUUAACUUUUGGCCAUCAAAGUGAGAAAAAUCAGCCCUCUCUUUUCACAUUUCACCAGGAAAAACUCAAGGUUAGAUGGGGAAAAAUACUGAUAAUGCUGAAGAGAUGCCUUCAAGCAAUACCAAGGAUUUGUCCCCUCAUUUAUAGAGAAACUGGAGCUUCUGCUAUUUGUAAUUAGCUUUGUGAACAGUUGCAAUUAGACAUUUGGAAAAUGCAGCAUUUUGCUUUCCCUCAGAAGAACAGGUGAGUGUAGAAAAGAACUACCUUGUAAUGGCCCUGAAUGACACUUUAAUUUAAUUCAUCUUCUUC
rnacentral:lncRNA from 1 species